CUCGCCUGACAAUCUUUGUGUGCUGGUGGCCCCCUUUCAUCUUGUAGCCUCCACCAUCACUGCAGCAGGGGAAGAGAGAGAUGGAAAUGGUGCACCGGUUUUUGGGUUUUAGUUUUUUUUUUUUUUUUUUUUAACACGGAGUUUCACUCUUACUGCCUAGGCUGGAGUGCAAUGGCGCAAUAUUGGCUCACUGCAACCUCCACCUCCCGGGUUCAAACAAUUCUCCUGUCUCAGCCUCCUGAGUGGCUGGGAAGGGCAAUUGACCCAGGAAAGGAAACAGCAAGAUGAACACAUUGUAUUGUGUGCCGCACACUGCCACCCCCACAUGUCAGGGAAGGAGGGUCUUGGGAAGGCUGCUGGGUGGGUGACUGCCACUCCACCUCACUUCCACUUACUCCCCAACCAGGCCAGCAAGUCUGGUCACAGAUGUGGC
rnacentral:lncRNA from 1 species